rnacentral:rRNA from 1 species
AGAGUUUGAUCCUGGCUCAGGAUGAACGCUGGCGGCAUGCCUAAUACAUGCAAGUCGUACGCUUCCGACCUUCGGGUCAAUGGAAGAGUGGCGAACGGGUGAGUAACGCGUAGGCAAUCUACCCUUAGGACGAGGAUAACUAUUGGAAACGAUAGCUAAUACUGGAUAGGUAAUUUAGACACAUGUCUUUAUUAUUAAAGUUUUGAUACACCUAGGGAGGAGCCUGCGUCGCAUUAGCUAGUUGGUAGGGUAACGGCCUACCAAGGCAACGAUGCGUAGCCGGACUGAGAGGUUGAACGGCCACACUGGAACUGAGACACGGUCCAGACUCCUACGGGAGGCAGCAGUAGGGAAUUUUCGGCAAUGGGGGCAACCCUGACCGAGCAAUGCCGCGUGAACGAUGAAGGUCUUCGGAUCGUAAAGUUCUGUUGUUAGGGAAGAAUACCCUGGAUAGAAUCCAGGUUUGACGGUACCUAACCAGAAAGCCACGGCUAACUACGUGCCAGCAGCCGCGGUAAUACGUAGGUGGCGAGCGUUAUCCGGAAUUAUUGGGCGUAAAGGGUUCGCAGGCGGUCUAUUAAGUCAGUUGUUAAAGUUCGGGGCUCAACCCCGUGGUGCAUCUGAAACUGAUAGACUUGAAUCAAGCAGAGGUAAGUGGAAUUUCUAGUGUAGCGGUGGAAUGCGUAGAUAUUAGAAGGAACACCAGUGGCGAAGGCGGCUUACUGGGCUUGUAUUGACGCUGAGGAACGAAAGCGUGGGGAGCAAACAGGAUUAGAUACCCUGGUAGUCCACGCCGUAAACGUUGAGUGCUAAGUGUUGGCCAUGAGGUCAGUGCUGAAGUUAACGCAUUAAGCACUCCGCCUGGGGAGUACGACCGCAAGGUUGAAACUCAAAGGAAUUGACGGGAGCCCGCACAAGCGGUGGAGCAUGUGGUUUAAUUCGAAGAUACGCGAAGAACCUUACCUACACUUGACAUCCUUCUGACCGGUAUAGAGAUAUACCUUCCCUUCGGGGCAGAAGUGACAGGUGGUGCAUGGUUGUCGUCAGCUCGUGUCGUGAGAUGUUGGGUUAAGUCCCGCAACGAGCGCAACCCUUGUCGUUAUUUGCCAGCAUUAAGUUGGGGACUAUAGCGAGACUGCCAGUGAUAAACUGGAGGAAGGUGGGGAUGACGUCAAAUCAUCAUGCCCCUUAUGUGUAGGGCUACACACGUGCUACAAUGGCUACUACAAAGAGAUGCAAUACUGCGAAGUGGAGCGAACCUCAUAAAAGUAGUCUCAGUUCGGAUUGAAGUCUGCAACUCGACUUCAUGAAGUUGGAAUCGCUAGUAAUCGCGAAUCAGAAUGUCGCGGUGAAUACGUUCUCGGGCUUUGUACACACCGCCCGUCACACCACGAGAGUUUGUAACACCCAAAGCCGGUGGCUUAACCUUCGGGAAAGAGCCGUCUAAGGUGGGACAGAUGAUUGGGGUGAAGUCGUAACAAGGUA